UACGUAGGGUGCAAGCGUUGUCCGGAAUUAUUGGGCGUAAAGAGCUCGUAGGCGGUCUGUUGCGUCGGCUGUGAAAACCCGGGGCUCAACCCCGGGCCUGCAGCCGAUACGGGCAGACUAGAGUUCGGCAGGGGAGACUGGAAUUCCUGAUGUAGCGGUGAAAUGCGCAGAUAUCAGGAGGAACACCAGUGGCGAAGGCGGGUCUCUGGGCCGAUACUGACGCUGAGGAGCGAAAGCGUGGGGAGCGAACAGG
rnacentral:rRNA from 1 species